GGCGCCGUGGCGAAGUGGAAACGCGACUGUCUGCAAAACAGUUAUGCAUGGGUUCGAUUCCCAUCGGCGCCU
rnacentral:tRNA from 1 species